AACGAACGCUGGCGGCGUGCUUAACACAUGCAAGUCGAACGCGAAAGGGACUUCGGUCCUGAGUAAAGUGGCGCACGGGUGAGUAACGCGUAGAUAACCUAUCUUCAUGUCUGGAAUAAUACGCCGAAAGGGGUACUAAUACCGGAUAUUCUUGCUUUAUAUAAGUUUUGCAAGCAAAGGUGGCCUCUGCAUAUGCUACUGCAUGAAGAGGGGUCUGCGUACCAUUAGCUAGUAGGUGGGGUAAUGGCCUACCUAGGCUACGAUGGUUAGCGGGUAUGAGAGGAGGAUCCGCCACACUGGCACUGGAACACGGGCCAGACUCCUAAGGGAGGCAGCAGUGAGGAAUAUUGCGCAAUGGGGGAAACCCUGACGCAGCGACGCCGCGUGAGUGAGGAAGGCCUUCGGGUCGUAAAGCUCUGUCAAAGGGAAAGAAGUGCAUGAUGGCUAAUACCUGUCAUGUUUGACGGUACCCUUAAAGGAAGCACCGGCUAACUCCGUGCCAGCCGCCGCCGUAAGAC
rnacentral:rRNA from 1 species